AUAAUGGGUCAGCGACUUAUAUUCUGUAGCAAGGUUAACCGAAUAGGGGAGCCGAAGGGAAACCGAGUCUUAACUGGGCGUUAAGUUGCAGGGUAUAGACCCGAAACCCGGUGAUCUAGCCAUGGGCAGGUUGAAGGUUGGGUAACACUAACUGGAGGACCGAACCGACUAAUGUUGAAAAAUUAGCGGAUGACUUGUGGCUGGGGGUGAAAGGCCAAUCAAACCGGGAGAUAGCUGGUUCUCCCCGAAAGCUAUUUAGGUAGCGCCUCGUGAAUUCAUCUCCGGGGGUAGAGCACUGUUUCGGCAAGGGGGUCAUCCCGACUUACCAACCCGAUGCAAACUGCGAAUACCGGAGAAUGUUAUCACGGGAGACACACGGCGGGUGCUAACGUCCGUCGUGAAGAGGGAAACAACCCAGACCGCCAGCUAAGGUCCCAAAGUCAUGGUUAAGUGGGAAACGAUGUGGGAAGGCCCAGACAGCCAGGAUGUUGGCUUAGAAGCAGCCAUCAUUUAAAGAAAGCGUAAUAGCUCACUGGUCGAGUCGGCCUGCGCGGAAGAUGUAACGGGGCUAAACCAUGCACCGAAGCUGCGGCAGCGACGCUGAUGCGUUGUUGGGUAGGGGAGCGUUCUGUAAGCCUGUGAAGGUGUGCUGUGAGGCAUGCUGGAGGUAUCAGAAGUGCGAAUGCUGACAUAAGUAACGAUAAAGCGGGUGAAAAGCCCGCUCGCCGGAAGACCAAGGGUUCCUGUCCAACGUUAAUCGGGGCAGGGUGAGUCGACCCCUAAGGCGAGGCCGAAAGGCGUAGUCGAUGGGAAACAGGUUAAUAUUCCUGUACUUGGUGUUACUGCGAAGGGGGGACGGAGAAGGCUAUGUUGGCCGGGCGACGGUUGUCCCGGUUUAAGCGUAUAGGCUGGUUUUCCAGGCAAAUCCGGAAAAUCAAGGCUGAGGCGUGAUGACGAGGCACUACGGUGCUGAAGCAACAAAUGCCCUGCUUCCAGGAAAAGCCUCUAAGCAUCAGGUAACAUCAAAUCGUACCCCA
rnacentral:rRNA from 1 species